UAACUUAUUGACUAAUGUGGGAGGGCC
rnacentral:piRNA from 1 species